AACGAACGCUGGCGGCGUGGCUAAGACAUGCAAGUCGUACGAAUUGUUUCUUUGAGUAAUCGAUGAGACAGUUAGUGGCGAAAGGAUGAGUAAUGCAUAGAUAACGUACCCCGGACACUGGGAUAGCUGCGGUCUUCGGACCUUUAGCGAAAGUGCAGGUAAUACCAGAUGAUGUCCUUAUGUCGGGUGACAAUAGGACCAAAAGGGCUUCGGUACCGGUCUGGGAGCGGUUUAUGUCGUAUCAGUUUGUUGGUGAGGUAACGGCUCACCAAGACAUCGACGCGUAGCGGGACUGAGAGGUUGACCCGCCAUAUCGGGACUGAGACACUGCCCGGACCUCCACGGAGGGCUGCAGUAACGAAUAUUGCGCAAUGGACGAAAGUCUGACGCAGCGACGCCGCGUGUAGGACGAAGCCCUUCGGGGUGUAAACUACUGUCAGGGUGAAGAAAGGUGAAGGCUGUGAUGCCUGAACUUGAUCUAACCCAAAGGAAGGCCCGGCUAACUUCGUGCCAGCAGCCGCGGUAAUACGAAGGGGCCAAGCGUUGUUCGGAAUUAUUGGGCUUAAAGAGCUCGUAGGCGGAAGAUUAAGUGCCUUGUGAAAUCCCACGGCUUAACCGUGGAACUGCAGGGCAUACUGGUUUUCUUGAGGCAAGUAGGGGUGCAUGGAACUCUGGGUGGAGCGGUGAAAUGCGUAGAUAUCCAGAGGAACGCCAGCGGAGAAAUCGGUGCACUGGGCUUGUCUGACGCUGAGGAGCGAAAGCGUGGGUAGCGAACGGGAUUAGAUACCCCGGUAGUGCACGCCGUAAACGAUGUCUACUAGGUUGUGGUGGCUCUGACGCCCUCGCAGCCGAAGCAAAAGUGUUAAGUAGACCGCCUGGGGAGUACGGUCGCAAGGCUAAAACUCAAAGGAAUUGACGGGGGCUCACACAAGCGGUGGAGCAUGUGGCUUAAUUCGAAGCAACGCGAAGAACCUUAUCCUGGGUUUGACUAUCUUGGAUGCCUCCCGUGAAAGCGGAUCAGGCUGCCUUCGGGUGAAACAUGAACAGGUGCUGCAUGGCUGUCGUCAGCUCGUGUCGUGAGAUGUCGGGUUAAGUCCCUUAACGAGCGAAACCCUUAUCGUUAGUUGCCAGCGGGUCAUGCCGGGGACUCUAGCGAGACUGCCGGUGUUAAACCGGAGGAAGGUGGGGAUGACGUCAAGUCCUCAUGGCCUUUAUGCCCAGGGCUGCACACGUGCUACAAUGGUGCGCACAAACCGACGCAAUACCGUGAGGUGGAGCAAAUCGGAAAAAGCGUGCCCCAGUUCGGAUUGCAGGCUGCAACUCGCCUGCAUGAAGUCGGAAUCGCUAGUAAUCGCAGAUCAGCUAUGCUGCGGUGAAUAAGUUCCUGAGCCUUGUACACACCGCCCGUCAAGUCAUGGAAGCUGGGAGUACCUGAAGUCGGGUAGUUAACCCCGCACUAAUUUUCACAGAAGAUCACCGUAUGGUUUUUGAAGAAGAAGGACCAAUAAGCCCUAUGGGCUUUGCAAGGUAGAGCUGUGUAAAUUAGUGCGGGGAGACGCCUGCCGAUGGUAAGCUCGGUAACUGGGGCU
rnacentral:rRNA from 1 species